rnacentral:tRNA from 1 species
GGGCCCCUAGCUCAAUUGGUAGAGCGCCCGCUUCGCAAGCGGGAGGCACCGGGUUCGAGUUCCGUCGGACCA